rnacentral:tRNA from 1 species
GGGGUUGUGGCUCAGAGGUAGAGUGCUCGCCUAGCAUACGUGAGGCACUGGGUUCAAUCCUCAGCACCACA